GACGAACGCUGGCGGCGUGCUUAACACAUGCAAGUCGAACGAUGAAGCCCAGCUUGCUGGGUGGAUUAGUGGCGAACGGGUGAGUAACACGUGGGCAACCUGCCCCAAACUCUGGGAUAACUCCUCGAAAGAGGUGCUAAUACCGGAUACGAACUAGACAGACAUCUGUACUAGUUGGAAAGUUAUUUGGUUUGGGAUGGGCCCUGGGCCUAUCAGCUUGUUGGUGAGGUAACGGCUCACCAAGGCUACGACGGGUAACCGGCCUGAGAGGGCGACCGGUCACACUGGGACUGAGACACGGCCCAGACUCCUACGGGAGGCAGCAGUGGGGAAUAUUGCGCAAUGGGCGAAAGCCUGACGCAGCGACGCCGCGUGAGGGAUGAAGGUCUUCGGAUCGUAAACCUCUUUCAGUAGGGACGAAGCGAAAGUGACGGUACCUAAAGAAGAAGCACCGGCUAACUACGUGCCAGCCGCCGCGGUAA
rnacentral:rRNA from 1 species